rnacentral:rRNA from 1 species
AGUGAACGCUGGCGGUAGGCCUAACACAUGCAAGCCGAACGGCAGCACAGAGGAGCUUGCUCCUUGGGUGGCGAGUGGCGGACGGGUGAGGAAUACAUCGGAAUCUACCUUUUCGUGGGGGAUAACGUAGGGAAACUUACGCUAAUACCGCAUACGACCUUCGGGUGAAAGCCGGGGACCUUCGGGCCUGGCGCGGAUAGAUGAGCCGAUGUCGGCUUAGCUAGUUGGCGGGGUAAAGGCCCACCAAGGCGACGAUCCGUAGCGGGUCUGAGGGGAUGACCAGACACACUGGAACUGGGACACGGUCCAGACUCCUACGGGAGGCAGCAGUGGGGAAUAUUGGACAAUGGGCGCAAGCCUGAUCCAGCCAUACCGCGUGGGUGAAGAAGGCCUUCGGGUUGUAAAGCCCUUUUGUUGGGAAAGAAAUCCUGUCGGUUAAUACCCGGUAGGGAUGACGGUACCCAAAGAAUAAGCACCGGCUAACUUCGUGCCAGCCGCCGCCGUAAAAC